rnacentral:rRNA from 1 species
AACCUCAGAUCACACUUGGUUAGCCACUGAAUUUGAGCAUAUUACUAAGUGGAGGAAAAGAAGUAUUCCCUCAGUAACAUGAGUGAGCCCAGCAGUGAAUCGCCAUCCAGUAGCGGGCACGGGAAAUGUGAUGUACAGCAGACUGACUCAUUAGCAUCACUCAGGGGCCCAAAAACUUCUGAUUGAGGCGCACCCCACAGACGUUUUAGGCUGGUAGUGGCCCCGUAAAUGGGUCUCGUCUAAGUCAGGUUGCUUGGGAAAGCAGCCCAAAGCAGGUGAUAAACUCCACCUAAGGCUAAAUAUGGGCACGAGACCAAUAGCCAACACGUUUGCAAGGUGAAAGUUGAAAAGCACUUUGAAGAUAGUGUCCAAGGUGUGAAACAGUCAAGAGAUAAACGGAUGGGGUCCCGUGCAGUCUGUUAGGUCGGUCACCCGGAAUGGCGGAUCCCCUUGCAUUCCUCCAUGGCUGUGUACUGCAACUGGCUCCGCAUCGGCUGGGAACAACCCAGAGGUAGGUGGCUCUCUGCUCUGUGGAAAGUGUUAGAGCCCCCUUGCUGCAGUUUUGCCAUGUUUGCGGGUCAUAGGGAGUUGUUAGCCGCUCUGCCCUCUUCUGGCAACUGUCCCGGUCUCUAUCAGGGGUCACCAGGGCGGUGACGUGGUACAGGGCCCUCUGCUUCCGGGUGACUUUCAACUGGGGUAGACUGUCCUCAGUGCGCCUUACCAUGUUGCGCCAAAGGUGGGAGGCCCACGAAGGUGCCAGGUGUCUGCAAUGAUGUCAGUUUCCCGCCCGACCAGUCUUGAAACACUGACCAGGGAUUCCAACAUGUGGACAAGUCGGAGGACUGAAUGAAACCCUGUGAUGCAAUGAUGGUGAGGGCUGGCACAGCAGGAACAUCACUGACCCUCCUUGCCCACUCUGUCGGGGAGGUGCAGCAUGAGCAUGUGUCGGAGGACCAGGAAGAUGGUGAACUAUGCCUUUGCAUGGAAAAGCCAGAGGGAACUCUGGUGGAGGUCUGUAGGAGUCUUGGCGUGCAAUUUGGUCAUCCAACCUGGAUAUAGGGGUGAAGACUAAUCAAACCAUCUAGUAGCUGGUUCCCUCAGCAUAGUGUUACUCAGAAACCCCCAUUUUAUCUUGUAAAGUGAAUGAUUGGAGGUCUUGGGACAAAAUGAUCUCAACCUAUUCUUAAUCUUUAAAUGGGUAAGAAGACCUCCUCACUGCCGUGGAGACAGGCAUCAAAUGCAAGUGUCCGGGGGUUACUUUUGGUAAGCAGAACUCGUGCUGCAGGAUGAACUGAAUGCCGGGUUAAGGCACACUAUUGUGAUGCUCAUUAGACCCCAGAAAAGCUGUUGGUUGAUAUAGACAGCAGGACAGUGGCUAUGGAAGUCAGAAUCUGCUAAGGAGUGUGUAACAACUCACCUGCCAAAUCAACUAGCCCUGAAAAAGGAUGAGGCUGGAGCGUUGGGCCGAUAUCCGGCCAUCCCCAGCGUUGAGAGCUGCAGGGCUCAGCCGUGACGAGUAAGGGGGCUGCACAGUAUGCACAGACAUCCAGGGCAAGGACAGAGGUUGAGCAAAUAUUCAAACAAGAACUUUGAAGGCGGAAGUGGAGAAGAAUCCCAUAUGAACAGCAGUUCAACAUGGUCAGUCGUUCCUAAGAGAUGGGAGUGCACCAAGUGGAAGGGAUGGGUGAUGGCCUUUGUUGCCCUCAGCCAAUCGAAAGGGAGUCGGGUUAAGCUCACCAAACACAUAGAGGAAGAGAUGGGUGCCAUUGCUGCAUCCAGUGUGGGUAACGCAAAAGAUUCUGAAGAAGUCAGCGGGAGACCCGGGGAGAGUUCUCUUUCUUUGUGAAGGGUAUGGAAGCCUGGAAUGGGUUAUGCCCGAGAGAGGGGCCUGAACCUUGUAAAGCAUUGCGGUUCAGGCAGUGUCAGGUGGGCUCCUGAUGGUUCUUGAAAAUGCGGGGGAAAUGGUGUAAAUCUCGCUCCGGGCCUUACCAUAUCUGCAGCAGGUCCCAAGGUGAAUAUCCUCUGGGAUGUUCUAACAAUAUAGGUAUGGGAAAUCGGCAAGUCAGAUCUGUCAUUUUUGGAUAAGGAUUGCCUCUAAGGGCUGGGUUGGUUGAAAUGGGGCACAAAGCAAAACUGGGCACAAGCAGCUGCUGGGCGAGGCAUCCUCCCUUUUGGGGAAGUGCCGACUAUGCAUGUGAGUCAGGUCCUUUUUGUGGAACGCCCCUACUGCAGUGGUCUCCUCUUUCCAUUCCCCUCUGGGGUUCGAAUCCAGUGUUCUGCCUCGGCUGAUGCCGAGCAGCUGACUUACAACUAGUGCGGACCAGGGGAACAUAUGUGUUUAAUUAAAACAAAGCAUCACUAAGGCCCAUGCAGGGUGUUGGCUCAAUGUGAUUUCUGUCCAAUGCUCUCUAUGUCAAAUUGAAGAAAUUCAAUGAAGCACAGGUAAACGGCGGGAGUAACUAUGGCUCUCUUAAUCAAUAGAAAUGCCUUCUCAUCUAAUUAGUUAUGCACAUGAAUGGAUGAACGAGAUUCCCACUGUCCCUACCAUCUAUCUAAUGAAACGACAGCCAAGGGAACAGGCAAGGCAGAUUCAGUGGGGAAAGAAGACAGAGUUGCGCUUCACUCUAGUCAGGCACUGUGAAGAGACAUGAGAGGUGUAGGAUAAGUGGGAGGCCUUCUGCCUACCGGUGAAAUACCACUACUUACCCGAGGAGGUGGGGGUGAGCCCCAUUGGGCUCUUGCUCAUUACAUUUACUUUACUUUAAUACAUUUGUAAUGGGACCCAUGACCCGGGGUACACAGACAAAAAAUAAACUACAAAGAAAGCAAAAUAAAAAACAAACAUUAAACAGUACACAAUAUGAACAUAGAACACUAUAGACCCUAGCAUAUCCCUAACCACAGACAAUUUAGCCCUUUUUCUAAACAGUAGGAUCUUCAAUGUUUUUCUAAAAAUUGCUUUUUAUAUGUCAAGGCUCGUAGGUCCGGGUCAAGGUAUUCCAAGCCUUUGGUGCUGCCGAAAAGAACACACAUUUUAAGACCUGCGUCAACUUAUAUGCCAGUGUUUCAAGCUGAUUAGUAUUGUAAGACCCGUGAGACCUGACACUUACUGUCAGACACACUGCUUCACACAGG